GGGGACACGGCUAAGUACUUAGUUUGACACUCUCGAGAGGUGGUACACUUUACCCACAAGAAAUCGACGUCUUAAUCCCUUGCUGUCCUCAGGGUAGAGUAGCAACGGCAUCGACUAUAGGAAUUUUCAGAACAUAAUCCCCCAGACCACCUAAGUGACGAGCCCCCACCUACACUGCUACAUACCGAUGUCACCUCGGAUCCGGG
rnacentral:lncRNA from 1 species